rnacentral:rRNA from 1 species
UGGGGAAUAUUGGACAAUGGGCGAAAGCCUGAUCCAGCCAUGCCGCGUGUGUGAAGAAGGCCUUUUGGUUGUAAAGCACUUUAAGCGAGGAGGAGGCUACUUAGAUUAAUACUCUAGGAUAGUGGACGUUACUCGCAGAAUAAGCACCGGCUAACUCUGUGCCAGCAGCCGCGGUAAUACAGAGGGUGCGAGCGUUAAUCGGAUUUACUGGGCGUAAAGCGUGCGUAGGCGGCUUUUUAAGUCGGAUGUGAAAUCCCUGAGCUUAACUUAGGAAUUGCAUUCGAUACUGGGAAGCUAGAGUAUGGGAGAGGAUGGUAGAAUUCCAGGUGUAGCGGUGAAAUGCGUAGAGAGCUGGAGGAAUACCGAUGGCGAAGGCAGCCAUCUGGCCUAAUACUGACGCUGAGGUACGAAAGCAUGGGGAGCAAACAGG